UUUUAUAUCAGUAAGAGCCCUGAGAGAUGAUCAGGUAGAUAGGUUAGGAGUGUAAUUGUGGUGACACAUUUAGCGGACUAAUACUAAUAGCUCGAGGACUUAUCCAAAA
rnacentral:rRNA from 2 species